GUACCACUGUAGUUGAUUUCAGGUGAAUUGUGCCAAUUGACUGUAUCUUCUUUCUACAGAAAGAUACACCACUGCAUGAAAGUCCUAUAGUGAUCAUGCUGUAUUUUUAAUACUUUUUUAUAUUACAAAACCAAAUGUCCCUCCCCCCCCAAUUCAGUUCCAUAGCAAUUAGGAUAGCAGAAUAGCAGUUCAGCAUCCUGUUCACAGAGCGGCCAACCAGAUGCCUAUGAGAAGCCUGCAAGCAUGAUUCCUAGCCACCCAAAAAGCCUAAUCUUCACAGGGGAAUGAAUGACCCUGUGAAAGCAAGGGAGGAGUUGGGGGCCACACUUUUAGCACAGGUACAGCUCCAUGUGUGUUGACUUUCUGCUAGAUGAUUGAAGCAGGGAUUUUCAAACCCUCAUAGCACCACCCAAAGAACAGCUGCCUGCAAAAUGUCGUAGACCCACCUAUAAUCACCUCCAGGGGAGGCACCAGGAAUUCAAAGGUAGCGUUGCCAUGAAAGAGUUGCAAUGAUGGGUCUGACAACCAAAUCCUAAUCCUGAGGAGAAUUAAGUAUAGAAGCAUGCUUGCAACUCAGCAUUCUUAGAAUUACGGCUUUACCUAGAAAUCCAGUGUCUUAAAAGGUGUUCCUUUAUGUGCCAUAUGCUUUGAAACUUUUCUGUUAUCUUUUUUUAUUCUCCCUUCCCCUUAAAUCUCUGGUACGAACUACCCUGCCGUUUAUUUAUUCAGGUGUGGUGGAUGGUCACGACCAGCCUGUGCGGUAUAGCAACAUUGAGCAUGAGUAUGCUUUGAAUUAAAAGAGUGAUGACAUGAAAGAUUAACUCUUUCCUAUUAUCCACACCCUUUCCCUUGCACCCCCACCCCAUAAUGUCGUCACCACAAAAAUAAAGAAUUCCAGAGCUCACACAGGAAACAUUUCUUCAUUCCUCCAUGUUAUCGUUACAUCCUGAUUGCCAAAUACAACAGGAAUCAGACUAAGUGCUGUGGAUUAUGAGUGACAAAAACAAUCCAUUAUUUCAUGGCUCCUCCCAUAGGCUCCUGACCUCCACAGUUAUCCAGGCAGCUUGUGCUCUUUGGCUGCAAAGUUCAUAUUCAGCGUGCAUGCAGCUCAGUGUUGUUGUUUUCUACUUUACAAUGAGCCUUCUCCCUUCCAACUUUUUGCACUGGAAACAGCAGGUGUACUUAUCUUUAAAUCAUGUGUAGAUUUAGUGUACUGUUUACCCUCUCCCCCUGGGCUAUAUACCUUUUAUAUUGCAUAAGUGUAUGCGAUUAAAAGCUCAUUUGGUGCAAUAACCAAUAAUGGUUCCUCCCCAUUGCUACUCAGUGCAGUUGGCCAGAGUGGCUUUCUCUCAAUGCUACUCGUGCACUCAGUCACAGUGUCACUCCCACCCAGGAAUAAUGGGCCAUUCAUCCCCUAGGAAGCAGUAAGCUCAGUCAAAGUGAUGAGACUACUGUAGAAUACAAGCUGUUCUUAACUACAACCAGGCUUUUGUAGGGCUCAGGAAGUGUAGGAAUAGGACUACUCUUCAUUGAUGUCCUGCUUCUGGGUGUGGCUAAUAUAAAAUACAGCAAGUCAAAGAGAGGUAUUUGUGGUGAUUUUUUGUUGGUGAACAAGAAAGGCUUUCUUUCCACAUUGUGAAUGUGGAAUGUGCCACAUGUGUCUAGCUGGUUUUAAAUGAGAUCCAGAUACCUUUCUUACACCUGUAAAAAGUCAGACUAGUGAUCUAUGUGUGUGUGUGCAUGGAAUGGCGUGUCAACAAACACCAGCCCAGUUGACCUUGCUUAGUUUUAUAACAAAUAUCUGCCAGCAUUUGGUUUUUAUUAUACAUGAACCAUGACAACAAACAUGAGGGAUCUGUAGGAUGAAAAGAAAUAGGAAAAGAGGGAAACCUUGUUUGUAUACCUUAUGGCACAGCUCCAGUUUAGACUAGGUUUCCAAUGGCAUAACAGUUUGCUUGAGCAAAAUUAUUGGGAAAGAUUUACAAUCUGUAUAAAAUGUCAAGUUUACACAAUUUGUUUCAGAUAUUUUGGCUGCCUUGUGUGUAUGUGCAGGCAUGGCUUUGGGUGGGAUAACACAGCUGAUGCCAUUUUAUAAAUAAAGGCUGGUCUCAAAGUUGCAAUAGCUGAGAAGUUCUUCACACCCCAAAAUUGGGUUCCUCAUCCUAUGGAAAGACAGGCAUGUGAAUGCAUGAGGAACUUCCAUGCACAGUAUAAAGAAUACACCAUGUAUAGCCUUCCGCAGGUGGAUACAUAGCAGUUGAAUUACCAAAGUUUAUAAUGUGGAAUGGACUUGUGAAGGUUUUGAUGUGUUUAAACAAAAGCAUGUUUGACCUAGAUAAUCAUGCAACUGUGUGGCCGCUAUGGCAGAAGCUGUCACAUAACUGUAGUGCUUAUUGCUAAUUCACCUAGAGGUAACGGAGCAGAGGCCUAUAAAUUAUUUUUGCAAAAAUGCUUCCCUGCCGUUCUUGCUUCCAUGACUGCCUGCCCACCCCCAAAAAGUGGCUCUACAGAGAAAUGCCCGAUGUUAAGCUUGCCUAUGUGCCAUCAUGUACCAAGUCUUCACUGGAAUCCCUCAUCCCAGUGGCUGAGUCAAAGAUGCUCACCUGUCCAUUGUUGUUGCUGAAAGCAAAUCUUGUUUGGUGUUGUUAUUCAGAGUAAUAUUUGGAAGCCUUCCCUCUUGCACCUAGCCAAGCUUCCCUGUAGAAUAUAUCAAGGAUGGGGAACCUGUGGCCCUUCCCCAUGUUGCUAGAUUCCAACCCUCACCAUCUGCAGCCAGCAUGGCUAAUUGUCAGGGGGUGAAGAGAGCUGUAGGCCACAAUAUCUGUAGGGCACCAUGAUGGCUACCCCUUUGCUCUGGAGAUUGUAUGUCUUUUUAUAUUCUUUGUUGUUGUCAAUAGCUUACUUUCCUCCCUGUUUCUCUUGUUUCUUGAUGGAACACACCAGAUAGCAAGGCUCCUUGUUGCCUUCAUCACAUUAAGGAAAGAGGUCUCUCCAUUUCCUUAGGGAUGCAGGCUGAGAAAUCUUGCUGACUUCUGACGAGAGCAAGGCAGGGCUGCAAGUCCCUUCAGGCUACACAAACUCACAUCUAAGCUGCAAGAGUAGCUGGGCUGCCUGCAUCUGGCAUGAAGCAAACUGACUUUAUUUAUUUAUUUAUUUAGAGAGGCUGGAAAGUCAGGAGGCCACGUUGUUUAGAACUACGCUCUGUUCCUACAAGAAGAGGAGUCCCACUUGAUCUAAAAUGUAAGGCGAAGGCUAGAACAAGGUGAUAUAAUAAGGAUUUAAAUACUGCUCCUGUACACAAUGGCAGCAAAAAUUAGAGCGCUGCCUGGAGACCUACUUACUGCGCAGGGUCGAAGCUGCUGACUAGUGUGAGCAAUCCAGAUUGAUUGAGAGUCUCUUCACACUUUAUGCAGCUACUCUACUUGUUUACUGCAGAUCAUAAAUAAUAUCUGUGCUGUG
rnacentral:lncRNA from 1 species